rfam:Schistocephalus solidus strain NST_G2 genome assembly, scaffold: SSLN_scaffold0007945
GGCCACGUAGCUCAUUUGGCCAGAGCGUUGGCGUGGGUUCGAAUCCCACCGAGUUCU